rnacentral:rRNA from 1 species
UACGUAGGGGGCAAGCGUUGUCCGGAAUUAUUGGGCCUAAAGCAUCCGUAGCCGGUUCUGCAAGUCUUCCGUUAAAUCCACCUGCUUAACAGAUGGGCCGCGGAAGAUACUAUAGAGCUAGGAGGCGGGAGAGGCAAGCGGUACUCGAUGGGUAGGGGUAAAAUCCGUUGAUCCAUUGAAGACCACCAGUGGCGAAGGCGGCUUGCCAGAACGCGCUCGACGGUGAGGGAUGAAAGCUGGGGGAGCAAACCGG